UACCAGCACCCCGAGUGGUCGGGACGAUUAUUGGGCCUAAAGCAUCCGUAGCCGGCCUUCCAAGUCCUCCGUUAAAUCCAGCUGCUUAACAGAUGGGCUGCGGAGGAUACUAUAAGACUAGGAGGCAGGAGAGGCAAGCGGUACUCAGUGGGUAGGGGUAAAAUCCGUUGAUCCAUUGAAGACCACCAGUGGCGAAGGCGGCUUGCCAGAAUGCGCUCGACGGUGAGGGAUGAAAGCUGGGGGAGCAAACCGG
rnacentral:rRNA from 1 species